CGGGAGGUGAGUGCCCUGAGACGCGUGAGGUGAGUGCAGGGACACGGGAGGUGAGUGCCCUGAGACGCGUGAGGUGAGUGCAGGGACAUGGGAGGUGAGUGCCCUGAGAUGCAGGAGGUGAGUGCAGGGACGCGGGAGGUGAGUGUGCAGGGACGUAGGAGGUGAGGCCGAGAUGCAGGAGGUGAGUUCAGGGGCGUGGGAGGUGAGUGCCCUGAGACACGGGAGGUGAGUGCAGAGACACGGGAGGUGAG